rnacentral:rRNA from 1 species
UACGAAGGGGGCUAGCGUUGUUCGGAAUCACUGGGCGUAAAGCGCACGUAGGCGGAUCUUUAAGUCAGAGGUGAAAUCCCAAGGCUCAACCUUGGAACUGCCUUUGAUACUGGGGAUCUUGAGUCCGGGAGAGGUGAGUGGAACUGCGAGUGUAGAGGUGAAAUUCGUAGAUAUUCGCAAGAACACCAGUGGCGAAGGCGGCUCACUGGCCCGGUACUGACGCUGAGGUGCGAAAGCGUGGGAGCAAACAGG